UCCCUAGUAGUAUAUCGGUAGUACACGCGCGAUGCAUGAACUGAACAAUACUCUACGACGUUAUUGUAUCGUUACAUGUUCUGUGCGAGGACUGGGCUCGAUUCCCAGCUAGGGAG